rnacentral:rRNA from 1 species
GACGAACGCUGGCGGCGUGCUUAACACAUGCAAGUCGAACGGUGAAGGGACCAGCUUGCUGGUUCUGGAUGAGUGGCGAACGGGUGAGUAACACGUGAGUAACCUGCCCCCUUCUUCUGGAUAACCGCAUGAAAGUGUGGCUAAUACGGGAUAUUCUGGGUCUGUCGCAUGGCGGGCCCGGGAAAGAUAUUGCUUCGGUGGGGGAUGGGCUCGCGGCCUAUCAGCUUGUUGGUGGGGUGAUGGCCUACCAAGGCGGUGACGGGUAGCCGGUCUGAGGGGGGGGACGGUCACACUGGGACUGAGACACGGCCCAGACUCCUACGGGAGGCAGCAGUGGGGAAUAUUGCACAAUGGGCGCAAGCCUGAUGCAGCGACGCCGCGUGAGGGAGGGAGGCCUUCGGGUUGUAAACCUCUUUCGCCAGUGAAGCAGGCCUGCUCCUUGUGGGUGGGUUGACGGUAGCUGGAUAAGAAGCGCCGGCUAACUACGUG